CUGAAACUCGCCUACAUGAAGCUGGAGUUACUAGUAAUCGCAGAUCAGAAUGCUGCGGUGAAUGCGUUCCCGGGUCUUGUACCACACCGCCCGUCACACCACGGAAGUUGGGGGCGCCCGAAGCCACUUAGCUAACCCUUUUGGGAAGCGAGUGUCGAAGGUGAAAUCAAUAACUGGGGUGAAGUCGUAACAAGGUAUC
rnacentral:rRNA from 1 species